rfam:Triticum aestivum genome assembly, contig: Triticum_aestivum_CS42_TGACv1_scaffold_524718_6BS
CCCAUACUCCCUCUGUACGAAAAAGCUUGUCCCUCAAAUGAAUGUAUCUAGCAUCAAAUUAGUGCUAGAUACAUCCAUUUGAGAGACAAGCUUGAGACAAACUUUUUCGAACGGAGGGAGUACCUC